rnacentral:lncRNA from 1 species
CAAUGGUGUUGAUACAUGGAAACUGCAACAUGGACUUUCACUUACCACAGUCAAUAUGGUGGCAGCCAUUCUGAGUCUCUGUCCUUCCAGCAGCAAAGAGCAAAACUGAAUCUCUAAUAUGGCACUAAUCUUGGAAGAUCAGUGAGCCAUCUGACAUUAGGUUGAUUACAUAGGCCCUCUUCCGUCAAAGAAGAGGCAAUUCUUUGUUUACACUGAAACAGACAUUCAUUUUACAGCAAUGUGGCAAUGGGCUUAUGCUUAUCCAACCAAUUAACUUCACCAUGUUACCCCAUUGAAUAUUGAACUAAAUUUUUGAUAAUUGAGUUAUGGCACCAGUUUGGUGGCAAUAGUUCAUGAGGCUAAGGUAAUGUUUUUCAGGGUGUCUUUGUUUUUUCUAGAAUGCUUUUACUGGGAUGUCUUUGUUUUUUCUCUCAAAGCCAGGUGUAAUGGUUCCAGGGAUCAAGAACUAAAAAUUGAGUAAUUUUUUUUUUUACUGCUAUGUCUAGUGUUCCUCUAGUGGAAACAUUUGUUUUCUAUCUGCGUAACUGUGGGUUAUAUUAGUCUUGUUCCCAAGGAAGAAAUACUUCUAAUAGGGGACAUAGCAAUGGUUUCAUUAAACAGGGAGUUAACAUUGCCAAAUUGGCCACCUGCCUUCCUCAUGCCAGUGAAUCAAGAGGUUUACUUUAUGGGUGAGUGAUUAAUUAUGACUGUCAAGGGAAACUUGGGUCACUAUUACAUAAUAGAGGCAAGGAGGACUAAGUCUGAAAUGCUGGAGAUUUCCUGGAGAUCCUAUUACCAUUUUUAUGUCCUGUGAUUAAAUUCAACAGAAUACUACAACUGAAUCAGGCAAGUUGGCUACUAAUCCAAUCUUCUCAGAAAUGAAAGUUUAAAAUAUAUAAUGCAUUGUUGUUAACUAUAGUCACCUUACUUUGCUAUUAAACGUUAGAAUUUAUUUCUUCUCUCUAACUUUAUGUUUGAACCCAAUACCUGUAUAUUUGUUCCCCCCACCACUCCUCCUUUCCAGCUCUGGUAUCUGUUCUAUCAUUCUACUCUCUACCUACAUGAGAUUAGCUUUUUUAGGUCUCACAUAUGCAUGAGAACAUAUUUGUCUUUCUGUAUCUGACUUAUUUCACUUAACAUAGUGACCUCCAAUUUCAUCACUGUUCCUGCAAAUGAUACAAUUUCAUUCUUUUUAAUGGCUAAAUACUAUGCCAUUGUGAAUAUAUAGCACAUUUAAAACAAUCCAUUCAUCCACUGAUGGACACUUAGGUUGAUUCCAUAUCUGUUAUUGUAAAUAGUAUUGCAAUAAACAUGGGGGUGCAGGUAUCCCUUUGAUGAACUGGUUUUAUUUUAUUUGAAUAAUAUCCAGUAGUGGAAUUGCCAGAUCAUGUGGUAGUUGCAUUUUUACUUUUUUUUUUUUUUGAGAAAUCUCCGUACUGUUUGCAAGAGUGGCUGUACAAAUUUACAUUCCCAUGAAAAGUGCGUGAGUCCCAUUUUCUCCAUAACCUUGCGAGCAUGUUUUUUUUUUGUCUUUUUAAUAAUGACCAUUCUUUUUUUGAGAUGUUGCUCUGCCACCCAGGCUGGAGAGCACUGCCUCCUGGGUUCAAGUGAUUCUCCCGCCUCAGCCUCCUGAGUAGCUGGGAUUUCAGGCGCUCGCCACCUCACCUGGCUAAUUUUUUAUUUUUAUUUUUUUUUAUUUUUAAUUUUUUUAGUAAAGAUGGGGUUUCACCAUGUUGGUCAGGCUUGUCUUGAACUCCUGACCUCAAGUGAUCCACACGCUUUGGCCUUCCAAAGUGCUGGGAUUACAGGAAUGAGCCACUGCUCCCAGCCAAUAAUGACCAUUUUAACUGGGGUAAGAUGAUAUCUCAUUUUGGUUUUGAUUUGCAUUUCUUUGAUAAUUUGUGAUGUUGAGCAAUUUUCAUAACUAUUGGCCAUUUGUGUGUCUUCUUUUGUGAAAUGUCCUUUGCCCACCUUUAAAUGGGAUUGUUUGUUUUCUACUAUUGAGUUGUUUGAGUUCCUUGUAUAUUCUGGAUUAUCAGUUCCUUGUUAGACAAACAGUUUGCAAAUAUUUUCUCUGAUUCUGUGUGUUAUCUCUUCAUUUUGUUGAUUGUUUUGUUUACUGUGCAGAAGCUUUUUAUUUCAAUAUGGUCUUAUUUGGAUGCUUCUUUUUACAUGUGCUUUUAAGUCCUUGGCCAUAAAAUCUUUGCCUAGAACAAUGCCCUGAAGUACUUUCCCUACAUUUUUUUCUUGUAGGUUUAGAGCUUUCAGUUUUAUAUUUAAGUCUUUAAUCCAUUUUGAGUUUAUUUACAUAUACACUGAGAAAUAGGAGUCUAGUUUCAUUCUUCUGUAUAUGGAUCCAGUUUUCCCUGCAUGAUAUAUUUAACAGGGUGUCCUUUCUUCGAUUCAUGUUCUUGGUACUUUUGUUGAAGACUAGUUGGCUGUAAAUACGUGGAUUUAUUUCUAGGUUCUCUAUUCCAUUUCAUUGUUCUAUGUUCUGUUUUCAUACCAAUACCAGGUUCUUCAGUUACUAUAUCCUUGUAAUAUAUUUUGAAGUCGGGUAGUGUGGUGCUUCCAGUUUUGUUCUUUUUGCUCAGGACGGCUUUGGCCAUUUCAGAUCUUUCUUAGUCCCACACAAUCUUUAGGAUGGUUUUAUUUAUUUCUCUGAAAAAUGACAAUGGUAUUUUGAUAGAGAUUGCUUUGAAUCUGUAUAUUUACUUGGGUAGUAUGGUCAUUUUAACAAUAUUAGUUUUUCCAAUCCAUAAACAUAGGAAGGCCUUCCAUCUGUGUGUCUUCUUCAAUUUCUUUCAUCGGUGUUUUGUAGCUUUCUUUGUAGUGAUCUUUUACCUCCUUGGUUAAAUUUAUUCUUAGGUUUUCCUUUUUUGUAGCUAUUACAAAUAGAAUUGCCUUCUUGAUUUUUUUCAACUAGUUUAUCGUUUAUGUGUAGAAAUGCUACUUAUUUUGUAUAUUGAUUUUGAAUCCUGCAAGUUUACUCAAUGUAUUCAUUAGAUCUAAGAAUUUUUUGGUGGAGUCCUCAGAUUUUUCUAAUUUAUAAGAUUAUGUCAUCUGCAUAAAACAACUUUACUUCCUUCUUUGUGGUUUGGAGGUUUUUUAUUUCUUUCUCUUGUCUGAUUUCUCCAGCUAGAACUUCUAGUGCUACAUUAAAAAAGUGUGGUGAAAGUGGACAUUGUCUUGCUCCAGUUCUUACAGGAAAGGCUUUCCGUUCCUCCUCAUUCAGUAUGAUAUUAGCCGUGGGUUUUCAAAUAUGGCCUUUAUUAUGUUGAAAUAUGUUCCUUCUAUGCCUAAUUUGCUGAGAGUUUUCAUCACAAAAGGAUGCUGAAAUUCUUCAAAUGCUGUUUCUGCAACUAAUGAGGAAAGCAGAGGACGGAAGUGCCGAUAAAAAGAUGGAAUAAUGGCUGGACUCCAGAGCUAUUUUCCUGGGCCACAGUUUGGUGAACACUGUAUUAAAUCAUAGACCCACCGAAUAUUAAAGGAGGAAGAAACUUGAAGAUUGCCUAAUCCAACCCCAUCAUUUUUACAGAUGAGGGAACUAAGCUCAGGGGAUUAAGUGGCUCAUCUACAGUCACAAGCAAGUUAGUAACUGAAUCUGAACCAAAACCCGAAUAUUCUGUUUAAUGGUUUAAUUUAUUUCCCAAAAUCAUGCUCUCCCUCUAAAUAGUAUUUUUUAAUUUUUUGUAAAGCCACUAUACUCACACGGUUAAAAGUUUAUAAAAGGUAGACAGCAAAAGGUUUACUUACUUUAGAUCAAAAAUUAUAAAAUGCAGCCAAUCAUCUUGUGAUUUCAGGCAGAAUGGAAGGUUGAACAAGAUGGUUCUAGAAUGUCAGAAGCAUGUUUUGGUUGCUUUUGGUUAUGUAUGAGAAGGUAUUACAAAAAAAAAAAAGUGAGCUCAGAAAAGUGACGGUCAUUUCAAUGUUAAGAGGGAAGAAGCAUUAUGUGUUUCCACUUGGUCUCUUGAGCCUCUAUCAUCAGCAUAAAAUCACGCCUGGUUAGCUAGUUUCUAUCUCCAAAAGAGUUACAGCCACAUAAAGAAGACUUGGAGCCACAGACUUGCCUCCUGAGGCAGAGCUGCCUCAGCCAAACCGCAGAUUCUUGAAAAUUAGUUAUGGUUUUAACUCCUGAUUUUGUGCAUUAUUCUAACAAUUAGGUAAAAUAUAAAUGUGUAACAUUGCAAAUAUAUAUUCUCUGUAUUUGUAUUUUAUUGGUCAACUGUAAAUGACCUUCUUUGACUCCAAGAUGAGACAAUCAGAAAAUUAUUCUUCUUUCAGUCUUUUCCUACCUUCUCUUUCCUACUUUUUCUCUUAUUAUUUCUUCAUUGUCAGAGAAUAUACCUUUGCCUUCUCUCACUUAACCAUAAUUGUCACAUUUAUUUUACAGUCAAACAUAUUCAAAGUUUUCUGCCAGUUCUUUUGUCAUGUUUUUAUCAAUCUUUCCUAAUGAGCUGAAGUCUCUUCCUCUAGUGUUUGUCUUAAGAUGGUCUCUUGGGAAUAAAAUUCCCAGUUUCUUGCAUAUUUAAAACAAUGAUCUGUAACUUUAUACUUGAGUAUCGCUCGUCUGCAUACAAAAUCCUGGGUUCAUGCUUCCUAUCCUUAAGUAUCUUUUAGAUGUUGUUCCACUGACUUCUGGUGUUGACAAUUUCCAUAGAGAAAUCUGAGGCUAGACUUAUUUGCUUCCCCCCUACAACUGUCUUAAUAUUUUGCCUGUCUAUCUUUAAUGUCCAACAUUUUUGAUAGACUAUGUCUUGGCCUGCUCUAGGUCAGUUUUCUAUACCAGAAGGUGAUCCUUUUUCUUAUGAAAAGUCAAGUCUGUUCUUCUUUCAUGAAUUUUUUUUUUGGUGGCAAAAUACACAUAACAUAAAGUUUACCACUUUAAUCUUUUUUCAGUAUACAGUUCAGUGACAUUAAGUACCUUCACAUUGUUGUGCAAUCAUCAGUAGCAUCUGUCUGAAGAAUUUGUCAUCUUCCCAAACUGAAACUCCAUACCCACUAAACAAUAACUCUUCAUUUCCUCUUCCCCACAGCGCCUGGCAACCACCAUCCACCAUUUUACUUUCUAUGAAUUUGAUUCUUUUAUUCCACAUAAGUGUAAUCGUACCAUAUUUGUUCAUUUGUGAUUGUCCAUGAAUUUUUUAAAAAUUAUACCUUUCUAUAUAGUUUUCCAUUAUUUGGUUUUCUUAUUUCGCUUCCUUCAACAGGGACUCCAAUUAUGCCUAUACUACCUAAUUUAAAUAGCUAACAUUUUAAGUUAUUUUUGUCUUUUUCUUUCAUAUUUUAGUUUUCUAUUCUCCAUCUCACUAUAUUUUUUAUAGCAACAAUUUUUCUUUGUGGUCUUCUUUCCCUAUAUUUUUGCAAAAAUUCAUAUUAUCUACUUUUUUUUUCUGAGAUAAGACAGAUCAAAACUCAGCUCACAUCUUCCUCGACAUCUCUUGCCUGAGUUCUCUAUUUGUGUUUCCAGUCUAACGCCAUGAAGGCUGUUGUUUAAUGAGGUUGUUUUUCUCAAUAUAUGCUGAGAUAUUUGUCCCUAACUAUCACAGGCACCAUGACAAUGUUUUGACUCUGUGGUGCGCAUUGUGCUUCAUUUUGUGUACUAUCAGUGUAUGGAUGCAGUUCCAGUC